AUUGAACGCUGGCGGCAGGCCUAACACAUGCCAGUCGAGCGGAUGAAGGGAGCUUGCUCCUGGAUUCAGCGGCGGACGGGUGAGUAAUGCCUAGGAAUCUGCCUGGUAGUGGGGGAUAACGUCCGGAAACGGGCGCUAAUACCGCAUACGUCCUGAGGGAGAAAGUGGGGGAUCUUCGGACCUCACGCUAUCAGAUGAGCCUAGGUCGGAUUAGCUAGUUGGUGGGGUAAAGGCCUACCAAGGCGACGAUCCGUAACUGGUCUGAGAGGAUGAUCAGUCAAACUGGAACUGAGACACGGUCCAGACUCCUACGGGAGGCAGCAGUGGGGAAUAUUGGACAAUGGGCGAAAGCCUGAUCCAGCCAUGCCGCGUGUGUGAAGAAGGUCUUCGGAUUGUAAAGCACUUUAAGUUGGGAGGAAGGGCAGUAAGUUAAUACCUUGCUGUUUUGACGUUACCAACAGAAUAAGCACCGGCUAACUUCGUG
rnacentral:rRNA from 1 species